rnacentral:rRNA from 1 species
CCUACGGGAGGCUGCAGUGAGGAAUAUUGGUCAAUGGACGCAAGUCUGAACCAGCCAUGCCGCGUGCAGGAAGACGGCUCUAUGAGUUGUAAACUGCUUUUGUACGAGGGUAAACGCAGAUACGCGUACCUGUCUGAAAGUAUCGUACGAAUAAGGAUCGGCUAACUCCGUGCCAGCAGCCGCGGUAAUACGGAGGAUUCAAGCGUUAUCCGGAUUUAUUGGGUUUAAAGGGUGCGUAGGCGGUCGGAUAAGUUAGAGGUGAAAUGCCGAGGCUCAACUUCGGAAUUGCCUGUGAUACUGUUAGGCUAGAGAGUAGUUGCGGUAGGCGGAAUGUAUGGUGUAGCGGUGAAAUGCUUAGAGAUCAUAAAGAACACCGAUUGCAAAGGCAGCUUACCAAGCUACUACUGACGUUGAGGCACGAAAGCGUGGGGAGCAAACAGGAUUAGAUACCCUAGUAGUC